CCCUUAGAUGUUCUGGGCCGCACGCGCGCUACACUGACGAAUGCAACGAGCUUAUAACCUUGGCCGAAAGGUCUGGGUAAUCUCCAAAUUUCGUCGUGAUGGGGAUAGAUUAUUGCAAUUAUUAAUCUUCAACGAGGAAUGCCUAGUAAGCGCAAGUCAUCAGCUUGCGUUGAUUACGUCCCUGCCCUUUGUACACACCGCCCGUCGCUCCUACCGAUUGAAUGAUCCGGUGAGGCCCCCGGACUGUGGCAACGGCUUUGGUUCGCCAAACUGAUGCCGCGGGAAGCUGUCCAAACCUUAUCAUUUAGAGGAAGGAGAAGUCGUAACA
rnacentral:rRNA from 1 species